UGGUUUACUCUCACUAUCUCAUUUAUUGUCUGUGAUACAUAAAUAAGGCAUCUCACAUUCAUUGACUCGCAAUUAGCGAAACAAAGGGUAAAAAGUUGCUUCAGUAGUUCUUCAAAAAAGAAUGGAAUCUCUUGUUCAUUUCGAUCAUUUCUUUCCUUAAAGGCAACGGAUAAACUUUGAACAAUUGAUUCGACAAGAUCAACACUCAUUUCCUUGGAUUUAAAUUGAUCUUUCAACAUCUCAACAAGUCUGAUGACAAGGGCCUUAAACAAACUCCUUUCUUCAGAUAUUGAGACUAGUACCGAUAAAUAUUGCUUAAAAGUUUCUUCAGAAGAUGACUUAGCAGUAACAUCAUCAGUUAAUUUUGAAAAUGCGAAAGGAAAUGAAGUCAAAAGUAAAAAGUCGGGCUUUAGUAACCCUAAAUCCUUCAAACAUUCUGUUGCCUUUUUCUUAAUAGGAUCGGAAAAGUCAAAUGCUAUGUCAUCCAAAAAUUGAAGUACCAUGGUUAAUUCACUCUCUGUUAGGAAGUUCUUGAUCGAAGCCAUUAAAAAAAUAACCUUUA